rnacentral:rRNA from 1 species
AUAGAUACCCGGGUAGUCCACGCCGUAAACGAUGGGCACUAGGUGCUUGGGGGAGCGACCCCCCCGGGUGCCGGCGCUAACGCAUUAAGUGCCCCGCCUGGGGAGUACGGCCGCAAGGCUGAAACUCAAAGGAAUUGACGGGGGCCCGCACAAGCGGUGGAGCAUGUGGUUUAAUUCGACGCAACGCGAAGAACCUUACCUAGGCUUGACAUGCAGGGGAAAGCCCCGAGAGACCGGGGCCCCUCUUCGGAGUCCCUGCACAGGUGCUGCAUGGCUGUCGUCAGCUCGUGUCGUGAGAUGUUGGGUUAAGUCCCGCAACGAGCGCAACCCCCGUCCCUAGUUACCAGCGGGUCAUGCCGGGAACUCUAAGGAGACUGCCGGUGUUAAACCGGAGGAAGGUGGGGAUGACGUCAAGUCCUCAUGGCCUUUAUGAUUAGGGCUGCACACGUCCUACAAUGGUCGGUACAGAGGGAUGCAAAAUCGUGAGAUCGAGCAAACCCCGAAAAGCCGGCCUCAGUUCGGAUUGCAGGCUGCAACCCGCCUGCA